CUGCUCACUGAGGCAGCACAUAUACUCAAAGUUGGAACAACACAGAGAAGGUUAGCACGGCCCCUGUGCGAGGGUGACACGCACACUUGUGAAGCGUUCUGUGUUUCU
ensembl:snRNA U6 U6 spliceosomal RNA